AGCUUGCUUUGGGAAAGUAAAGUGGCGAACGGGUGAGUAACGCGUGGGUAAUCUAUCCUGUGAAUCGGGAGAACGGACCGAAAGGUGAGCUAAUACCGGGUAACAUCGCAUUUGCCUUGGCGGAUGCGAUCAAAGGCAGCCUCUACAUGUAAGCUGUUGUUCGGGGAGGAGCCCGCGUACCAUUAGCUUGUUGGUGGGGUAAGAGCUUACCAAGGCGACGAUGGUUAGCUGGUCUGAGAGGAUGAUCAGCCACACUGGAGAGGGACACACGGUCCAGACUCCUACGGGAGGCAGCAGUGAGGAAUUUUGCGCAAUGGGGGAAACCCUGACGCAGCAACGCCGCGUGAGUGAAGAAGGCCUUCGGGUCGUAAAGCUCUGUCGAGUGGGAAGAACCUGUGGCAUGUUAAUGACAUGUCGCACUGACGGUACCAUUAGAGGAAGCACCGGCUAACUCCGUGCCAGCAGCCGCGGUAAUACGGAGGGUGCGAGCGUUAUUCGGAAUUAUUGGGCGUAAAGGGCGAGUAGGCGGCCUUGUAAGUCAGAUGUGAAAGCCCGGGGCUUAACCCCGGGAAGUGCAUUUGAAACUAACGGGGCUUGAGUAUGGGAGAGGGAAGUGGAAUUCCUGGUGUAGCGGUGAAAUGCGUAGAUAUCAGGAGGAACACCGGUGGCGAAGGCGACUUCCUGGACCAAUACUGACGCUGAGGCGC
rnacentral:rRNA from 1 species